GCACGGCUGCCGCCGCAGCGCCUCGCUCCGCUGCCCACCUUGCGGCAUUGCCGCGGCCCCGGGGGCCUUGGCCGCCCUCGAGCAGCGGGGAGCAGCUGCGGCCGGCCCGGCACUGCGGCGGCGGAUGCUGGGGCCGCCGCCCCGAUUGCUGCACAGCGGGCUGCGCGGCUGGAGGAUGCUCUGGUGCCCGGCCUAAAAAGGAGGAAUUGAAGCAUCCUGGUCUUGGGGAUUUUUUCCUCCUCGUUAAGUGAGCGUGACUGAAGAAGACAGGUAUUUUGGCAAAAGGAACCUCGGCAUAGUUACUGGUGGCUUUUGAAUGUUGUACCAAGGUCUUUAGGCAAAAGAAACAACCGUAUUUUUACAUGAUGCAGGGAAGCGCAAGGAUUGCAAGCGAAAAGCGCUGUAACAGCAAAGGCAGGAAAGGCUGCAAAAGCAAAAUACCGAACUGAGAUCUCUGGGGAUUUUUUUAGGGAAAUUGCACAAUUACUUUGAGUUUCCACCCCUAUGUAAGGACUGACUUAAUACCCAGUGAGCUCUUUCUUCCUGAGAAUAAGUUUAAGCCCCAUAUGCCAUUCUGCAGUAGCAGUGCUGUCAGAUGCGUGGCUGGCUCAAGGUUUGAGUCUAGAUCUGCUGUUGGUGUUUUCCAAGCAAGGAUUUGCCUUUGCAGGAAAGUGCUGGUUUGUUGCUUAGUUGGUUGCUUGGGUUUUUUUUUUUUUUUUGAAAUCCAAGUACAGCAAUACCAUCAGCAUUUUCAUUUUCACCUAAUCUUUGUCAAGAUUACAGCUCAGUGUAUUAUCUCCAUGUGUAUCCAUCCAAUGAAUCCUCAGAGCUGAUCCUUUCCUUCCUCAUCCCGCCUUUCAUGAUUGCCAGCUGUUGGGUUCGUCUGUUGAUUUAUUAACCUUUUUAAAAUUUUUUUUAACCUUCUUUGAGCUCUUUAUCCAACAACUUCUGUUUGCACUGGGUGACAGUAGUCCAUGAUUAGCAGAGUCCAGUUCAUCCCAGUUUGUCCACGUGAGCCCUGCAACAAAAUGCAUGUUAUUCUGGCAUGUAACCUGCCAGAAUAAAGCUGAUGGUUGCUGUUUUACCAGUCUGGUGUUGCCUUUCUUCUCUGUUCCUGACAUGCCACUAUACUGGCCCACUGUAGAUGACCUAAGGAUGUUUUUCUCAGACUUUGUUUUCUCUGGUUUCUUUUACCUGCAGUUCUUGCAGAAAGUUCUCAUCAAAUCAUUCCAUUAGAAUCAAGAAGACUUUGUGAAACCCUUAACAUCUGUAUCCACAUCCCACAUGGUGAGACUGCAAUGAACCCAACUACCCCAGAGACUAACUCUUUCACCUUCAACUGGUUUCUGUAGUCAGUGAAGAUUUGCACAUGUGGAGUCUUGAAGCAGCACUUUUGUUCCACCUCUGCAUUCCUUCAUUCUUGACUGGUGAUUCUUCUGCUCCACUCAAGCCUUGUUGAUGUCCUAUAAGAGUGGUAGGCUGUCAUAGCCAUUUGGUGCCUCUGUAGUGUUUUCAGUUUAAAGUAUGAAUUAUGAAAUUGUGAUUUGUAGGAAAUGUUGGAGGCUAACGGUAGGCUGUAGGUCCAAAAAGACUGGAAACAAAUGUUCUAGCAGCUACUCCCCUUCAGCAGUAUCUUUUGGCACAGUUCGAUGUCAUCAGCAAAAUACACUUUUCAUUGAGUCUUGUACAAGGGGUGCACAAAGCAUGCCAGAGCACUGAAACCCAGAGGAACUCUCCAUCUCUUUAACCCUACUGUAGACAUUCCUGGUUCCUCCAGAUAGUUAGUUUAUUUGGAUUUAAUUAGUUGAAAAACACCUUUCAAUAAUCAUAAACUUAAUCAAGUCCAUCUACUUGCUUUUAGCAAGAGUCACUACUAAUAUGUUAUUAAAAGGUAUUACCAUAGCAAUCUGGACUCUCACCUUAACCUGUACUCCUGCUAAAAUGGGAACAAAGCCAAAGACAGUUCCAAAGGAGAGGGGUGGCUUUUGCUAGCCUCUUCCUUUCUUUUCUCCCACCUCUCAUCUCCCCUUUGCCCUCCAGCUUCAAGUACUUUUUGGUUUAAUUUUUCUGCUUCUGCAUUUCGGAAGAAGCCAAUGUUGGAUGUUUCUCUUUUAAAUCUGGGGAAGUGGAGUUUGCUCAUUACCUAACUUUGCUUUGCAGCCCUAGUGGCAGACAGGCUGGUCAGGAAGGUCAGGGAGGUCAGAAAGGAGAGAUGCAGAGAAUGAGGGACAGGAGCUUGUGAUCUUUUGACAGAAGGGAAGGAUCAGGCUUGGAAUCAAAACAGAGGAGUCGGAGGGGUGUCUAAAGGUGAUGGGUAGCUGGUGGAGAUAGAGGGAUAGGAGCUGCAUGGGCAACAGGCAAAGAUGAAGUCCAUCAAAAAGGCUGGCAAAAAUCAAGCAAUCUCAGACAUGACUAAUUCUGCUGCAGGAGGGAAACUCUUCCUUCCUUCAUUUCUGUGACAGACACUCCCCAAGGCCCCCACUGCUGCUAGAGCUCCAUUAUCUGAGGCAUUGUACCUCAUACUGGUGAUGUGCUCUCUGCCACAAGGACUUACAGUUUAGCAUGACCCAAAAUGCAACAAAGGAGUGUAAAAAAAUAUUGUACAGGACCAGGAGAGGAAGGACAUCUGGAGCCUUGGAAGCCUACAUUGCAUUUACAUUGUGUAAUGUCACGGUUAUAGUCAGAAGUAAAUAACAUACAAGUAAUGUACACACAUAGCAGCAACCCACCCUCCAUCUCAGGCAUUUCCACUGUCUUUUUUCUCCCAGUCAAGAAUGAGGAAAUCCCAAGUACCCAAUUCAACCUCUUGUCCAAGGGCCUGUUGGUGGUGGUAGUUAGGGCAGAAGGCUAACACAGGCACAGCUGAAGCACAGCAUGUGCUGCUAGAGGUCACAGCCUUUGACUUGCAGCAUUCUGUGAGAGCAGCAGUAAGGAGCAGCUGGGCACACACAGGCUCUGCUCUGACUCAGCCUGGAACAGCCCAUCUCUGUCCCUUGGUCUGCCAUGCAUCCCACUGUCACAGCUCUUUGCAAGUGAGCUGGCUGCAGAAGUUACUUUUCAGCUGGACCUGUUCCCAGGGAAGGCAAAAGAAUACAAAUUUCUGCCAGCCAGCGUGGGAAGAGUGUCAGGGGCAGGCAGGGGGGCAGCAGGGCUUGGAGAAGCUCUGGAGACAUUCUGCUCCAGAGGCACAGGACUGGCCUCAGCUGUGCUUGUGCUAAGUAGGUUGUUUUACUAAACUGCAUUUUCAGAUGCCUAAAAUGGCUUUUGGUGCUCAAGCUGGACACCUUAGGUUUCAUUUUCCUAGGAGUGCAAUCACUAAGCCAGCAGUUCACCUCCACCAGAGGAGGCCACUCUGGUGGAGGUGUUCCCAGACAUGCAAUCCCAUCAUCUGUCUUUUGUCAGCCCUGCUACCUGUGAAUGAAUGAAUGAAGCCCUUCAAGUCACCAGUGUUGGUCACUAACCAAGCAGAAACGUGACCCUGAAAGAAACAGCUGCUUGGUUUUCUGCUGUGUCAUUGCGUUGUACCAGCUCACAGGCAAAUCAAAUAAACUCCAGAGCCACCACAGAUGAGGGGGCAGGCUCUUUGGCUGGGAAGAAGUUUGAGUUAGAGGAGAAGGAAAAGAAGGAACAAGACUUCCCCCUUAUGGCAGGAUCGAGCCACUGGAUAUGCUUAGGUGCUCCCAGAUGCAGCUUGAGAGGUCAAUUUACACGUGUUAAACCAGGAAUACACAAACUCUGCAGGAGCUGGAAGUGCUGCAGUUUGCUGCAAUCCCUAAAUUCACUCCUAUUUUAUAUAAACAUGAUCCUGGUUCCACAUCUCUUAUUCAUGUAGAAAUACUCAUCAAAGAAGUUUUAGUAAAUAAAAUUGGAGAAAAAUCAGUUCUCAGCCUGCAGGCUUCUGCACUUUGAGGAAACAAGUACCUUUUGAAGAUGUAUUGAGGUAUGUCCCCUAAUUAUCAUUUGUACACAGUGUAGCAAACCUUAUUAUUAAGAGAAUGCAACUGUAAACUACACAAGUGUAAAUUUCCCGUGAGUUCCUAAUGCAGAGCAGCACCACAGGUUUAAAUCAGCUUUUUCAAUGUCCCUCACCCCUGCCAGUUCCUGGGAUGAAGUGUGCCCUACCUGCCUUAAGACAGGGAAGACGUUCAUCCUUGCUGAGCUCCCUCUCACCACACACUGCAAAAAAAGUUCAAAUAGACUGAUGUGUUUCUUUCCUCAUGCCAGGCCUGCAUCACUUCUGACUGCUCAUCCCUCCAGCAUGGGCUUUGUCCUCACUUAACAGAGUGAGUUAUGACAUGGCCUGGAGCUAUCCACAAAGAUUGCAAUAACUCCUCUCUCUAUUGUUGGCCUGGUUUUCAAGAGGCUUGGGCAUUCCUACUCCUUCAAGGAGCAGAAGGGCCUGAGGAUACCAUCAUCUCUGGAAAUCACACCAUUAGGGACAAGAAGAGGAUGUGAAGGAAGGCAUGGGGGCUUGCAGGGAGAAGCUGCCACAGUCAAGGGGAGAGAGCAAGUAAUCCAACAGAACUUUCUUACAGGCCAAAAGACCCCAUGAAAGCCUGGAUGGCUGCACACCACAUCUCUGAAAGCAAUGACAAAUCACAUUACGGUUGAGGCGUGUAAAAUCGUUCUGUCAAAGCAGCGGCUCCCGGCGUGGCCAAUUUGACUGGGUGAGAUGAGACAGGCAUUGUUAGUGCUGCUGCCUGGUUAGUGCUGAGGCCUUGAGGGCAAGGAAACUCUUCUGGCUGAGAUGUUGGGCAAGGCUUCCUCCAAAGGAGAGAAAUGUAUCAAAUGGAUGGGGUAUUUUCAGGGUCCCCCGUCGUGGGGAGGAAAGAUGAAUCUGACUCCAUGUUCUUAGAAGGCUUAUUUAUUAUUUUAUGUUACUAUAUUAUAUUAAAGAAUACUCUACUAAAGAAUAGAGAAAGGAUACUUACAGAAGGCUACAAGAUAAUAAUGAAAAACCUGUGACUCCUUUCAGUCACAAACUGUGUUUGGACUCACAGUUGAGUCCAAACACAGCUGGACUGGGAUUGGUCAUAAAGUCAAAACAAUUCAGAUGAAACCAAUGAAACAAUGACCAGUUGGUAAACCAUGUCCAAACCACAUUCCAAAGCAGCAAAACACAGGAGAAGCGAAUCAGAUAAUUAUUGUUUUCAUUUUUCUCUGAGGCUUCUCAGCUUCCCAGGAGAAGAAAUCCUGGCGAGGGGAUUUUUCAGAAAAUAUGACAGUGACAAAUGGACAAAGCCAUUGCUGGUGAUGCCAGCCCUGGGGGUAGCUCAAUUCCAUGCUUUCCACCAAGGAGGAAGGAGAGAAGUUGCUGUAUCUGCUGAGCAGCACCUGGACCCAUGUUCAGCCUUAGCAAAUAACUGCUCUUCCUAGCUGGGACCCAGCUGUGGCUUCCAUCACCUUUCCAGCCUUGGAGUGCCUUGGCUUGGCUGUGAUUACUGCUCAGCAGCACAGCUGCAGGGCAGCAGAGCAAGGGCUGCAGUACAUCUGCCCAGCACUUUUCCACACACAGCUUUCCACCCAGGAAUCCUAUUGUCAUGAGACAUUAGAUGUUUUAGGCUCAUUAAUUCUGGUGACACAAUCCAGAAAUGUAUUUUUAGAGGGAGUGAGCAGGUGUCCAUGGCAGCAUUUUAGCUGACAGUGCUGCAGAAUUGCUAUUCAGGAGUAUUUGGUUGUUAUUUGUAACUUGAUUUGUUGCUGAAAAAUAUGGCUGUUCAUAAUAUUUUACCUCUUCUUAGCUUCAGGAAUGGCCUGGAUGAGACAAAGGGAAACAUUUCCACCUUGAAUAGACUUUCAUCCAUUAGACUUCCACUAGGAAACUGGAGAAGUGGUACUAAUGAUUCAUCUGUGGUAUUGAUUGUAGAUGCUGGCUGGGAAAGAGAACAAAAAUAAGAAAUUAAAACUAAUGACUGUACCUGAUUGAGAAAAUAUUUUGGUUCAGAAAAUUACAUCAAAAUCAUGCUUUUUUCCCCCACAAGUAUUAGAAAUCUGCAUAAAAAUUAUUCAGUCAUAAAAUUGGUUGCUAGGUGUUAAAAAUAAUUGCAAUCUAUAUUCACAGCUAGAAACUAUUUCAUUUUUUUCCAUAACUACCUUAAAUAAAAUCUUUAAGGCUGCUGUAAUGUAAUCCUCCAUCAAUAUUUUUAAACUGCUAGGCAGAAACAUGUAGGCUCAUAGAGCUCAUUUUCUUGAAGAAACAAUACAGUAAGUGAGUUUGACCCAAAACCCAUCUGAAUGUAAUUGCUAGGAUGGCAAAAUGGUUUCUAAUGACAGUCACAAGCAUCAUGCUUGAAUCUACAAAUUAUUUAGUUGUCUGAGCUCCCAUUCUAUGUAUAUGUACUUCUAAAUUUUAGUUUGCUGCAGUAAAGCUCAGGACAUUCUGCUGGCCUUGGGAAAUGAAGGACUGAUUUCCCAUUGCUAAAUAUGAACAGAGAUGCUGCUGUAUAGAGACUGAAGUGAUCUUUAAAAACAUGCAAAAAACCUUGUCAAGAGCUUCAUUACCACAGAGCAGCCCAUUACAAGUAUGUGGUCUGACCACAGGGCAGGUAUUUGGAAGCAAAUCAAAACUGAGUAGAAAAAAAGAUUUUUCAAAUUCAGUAAUACUCAUUUCAAUUAAUAGCCCACCUGCUAAGUGUAACAAACCUGAACAUAUUGUGAUCAUUAAUGCUCUAAUGUAGCCUUUUGUCAAAAAAACCCCAAAACCACGUUGAAAAUUUUGAAAGGCAAAUCAAUGCCAGCACCACUCUCUCACAUACUGAAGUAAAGGGUUGAUUCUUGCAGAGGCUAGAACAAAUUCCUUGUCUUUAGGCUAAGAAUGAUUAAUUAUUACUCACAAAGACACCAGAGAAAUAUGGAGAGCAGGAAGGAGUGCUGAGGUCUUAGCUGGGAGCAAGAGCUGUGGUGGUGCACGAAGAGAUUUACAUUUCUCAAGGUGAGUACUGCCCUGCUCUGAGACCAGAAAUCAGUAGAAAUCCAAGCCCUUCCCACCCCAAGUAGGAAAGGGCAGGGUUUGUUUAAGUGGUUCAAGGUCUGGGCAAGUAAGGGCUCAGGUCCUGGGGGGAAAGAGGGAUUUAGUGACAGGAGUUCAGGCAAAUGCUCCAUUUGAAUGACAACUGCUCCACCACUGUGACUUCUUUUCACAGCUGACUGCUUUGGGAAGAGGUUUGAAGGAUUGCAGCCUGAAGCAGUUGGCCUUUCCCACCUCUCUUUCCAGGAAGCUGGAGGUCUGAUUAGAGGUUCUUAGUUCCAUGGCAGCUCCACACUGGGCUGGGGUGGGUCCCAUGGCCUGUGCCUGACAGGGAGCAUCACCCGAAGGGCUGCAGGUGGGGACAGUGCCACAGGGCCAUCAGCUCAUGGAAAGCACCAAGGAGCUGAGCUGAGCCAGGCUUGCUCCACAACUGUGAUACCAUGGACCCCAUACUGUCUUUCUACCCUUAAAGUCUGCAAUAGUUUGGUUUUUGGUUUUUUGUUGUUUUUUUUUUCUUUCAGACUUCUCAAAUGACAUUGUAUUAUGAAGCAAUCAGAAAUAAAGCCUGGGAGACCUAAAAAAAAUUAAUAAAUUUUUUGAACAUCAAGAGAGAUUUUUACAGAGAGAGAAGUUUGUGUCUCCAGGCCUGGUGCCCUGCACCACCUUGUUUGACAGCAUCCAUCUACCAUGGGCACAGCUUGAGGGGCAAACAGUGCUGGAAGGUGUCAAACAGGGAUCUGUCCUGGGCUUUUACCACCUUCCUCUUGGGCUGAAGAUGCUCUGUCCCUGUAAAACAUUAUAGUUUGCUGGUGCUGAAAUGCCAGAAGGAUUUCUAGUGACUUCCACCAAACCACCUGAAAAGUAGGUCAGUAGCUAUACAAUUUCAGGAGAACUGCAAUGCUACAGCAGAAACUGAGUUAAUCCUGAUGUAUAUGAUGAAUAUUCCUCCUAACCUCUCUGCAGGGGACAGUGUGGACAUGAAUAUAUCUUCAUUAAUCUUUACUCAACUGGUUAUUUCCAAAGGGGAGGGCCUCAUGACAUUUUCUUUUUCAUUAAAUACCAUGGGGCCAAAUCUCUUGAGCUUGUUUGUUCAAACAGAAGCAUCUAAAUCCAGAUUUAGCCCAUAAACUCUCAUGAGGGGAAAAUAAAAUUUCAUGGUGAGAAGAAUAUAUAAUAAAACAUGGUUUAAAUUAAUUUGUAUCUGGAAUUCCUCUUCCAAAAGUAAACCUGCAAUUAUUGCAAUUAUGUCUUUAUUUAGAUAAAGGACAAAUCUCUCAUGGUGAUGGUUCAGCUAAAUGUGUAGAUUUAGGUCUAAGCAGCUACACAAAGUCACCAGUAAAACCCUGGAGGAAAGCCCUGGUGUAUUCUGACUUAGUGAGCUUCCCUCGAGCAGUUCUUGCCUGCUGUAUUCCAUUUCAGCCUUGGUUUGUUGCUUUUAAAUAGCUAUUUUUAAAAUUCUGAAAUCUCUUUAUAGCUGGCAGACAGAAAGCGUAGGCUGCAGGCAGAGGAAAUGGGAAGGGAAAAGGAGGGAAGGAGGGAGAGCAGAUCUGAAGCACGUCAGAAUGAAGGCAAACAUUACAUAAUGGAACAUGUAAACACUUUAAAUACAGUGUUAAAGCCUCUUUAGAUUGGACUGACACCAGAGAACAGAGCAGGGGUAAGCACACUAAACUCACAUAUACUGCAUGGACUCCCAUCCAGAACAGCUCCCGUUGAGCUAUAAACUCUUGGACUAAAGUGAUGAAAAAAGGCAAAUUAUGUGUCAAUAACUUAAAAUAAAAAUAGAAAUACUCAGGUAACUAUAGGUUUCCUCAGGUGGGGACUGAUGGAGGGAUGAGGGAUUAUACAAAGGAUUUGGGUGGCCUCUUAGGUGGUGGGUUUAGCUCCUGGUGGGAUGUGUGGCUUCUGAGGACUAACAGCAGGCUGCAAGGAGCAGGAGAUGACAGGAGAAACACAGCAGUCACCAACCCACUGCUCAAAUAACAUCCAGGCUUC